UACGUAGGGGGCAAGCGUUGUCCGGAAUCAUUGGGCGUAAAGCGCGCGUAGGCGGCCCGGUAAGUCCGCUCUGAAAGUCCAGGGCUUAACCCUGGAAAGCGGGUGGAUACUGCCGGGCUAGAAUCCGGAAGAGGCGAGUGGAAUUCCUGGUGUAGCGGUGAAAUGCGCAGAUAUCAGGAGGAACACCAAUUGCGAAGGCAGCUCGCUGGGACGUUACUGACGCUGAGACGCGAAAGCGUGGGGAGCAAACAGG
rnacentral:rRNA from 1 species